UGUUAUUGUAAGCUGUCAAGAUUGUGAGGGAGGGAUUUCGGUCGAGUGUAACAAAGCGACUUCUUCCGUUCUUAAGCUCUCACUGAGAGACUGAGAGUCAGCGACUGUACGGGACAACACAAAAGUUGUUUAUGUUAUUGUGAGAAAGGCAGAUAGACGGAAAUAGAGAGGGAGUGGAGACUCGAGGAUUGUUUUCAUUUUUCUCUAAUGAUCGCUGUGCUGUGCGGAGGACAGGACACACGCAUCAGCUGUCUGUCAGUCAGACACACGCGCGCGCUCGUUUGCACCUGUUGAGCUCCAGCAGUCAUGGCUGUAUGCAGGUGUUUGUAAGCGCGCGUCCGCGUCUGUCAAGGUUCGAGGAGAGAGAUGUCAUCGCUUUACUCGCGCAAGGAUCUGUCGUCUCGCUCCAAAAAGUCGCUGUCGGACUCGCCGCCGUCGUCCCCCAGCACCAAAACCUUCAGACAAGAUCGUGUGUCCAGAUCAGACUCCAGCGGUAUUGACGCCCCAUCAGACAGACUGACAGCUCGGGCUUACACACGUCGAGAGAACAGACUCGCCUCCUUGACCAAAACUGAGGAUGACUCCAUUAGCAAAGACUAUAAGAAGAUGUAUGAGGACGCUCUGUCUGAGAACGAGAAGCUGAAGUCUCGCCUGGAGGACAGCAAACAGGAACUCUCCAAAAUCCGUUCGCAGCUUGACAGAGUCGCACAGAGACAGGACAGAAUAUCAGAGAGAUCGACUGUAUUUGAAUCAGAGAAAAAGGAAAAGAAAGCUUUAGAGAAGAAAGUCUCUGGCAUGGAAGAAGAACUAAAGACCAUUCCUGCUCUGGCUCGACUACAGGCUCUCCGUCAGAGAAACGAGCACCUCCUAAUGGAGAACAAAGCCAUGCUCCGCACCCUCUCCUGCCUCACUCAGACGACCUCUCUCCCUGAGACGGACGAUCUCUAAUCCUCCCUUCCCUCUUUUUCUCUCUCUGUGUGUGUGUCUUCUUUCUUUUGGUUGCACCCUAUCGUCCUCUUCCUCCACCCCUUUGCUGCACACCACCCAGGUUUUGACUGAACUGAAGUCUGACAACCAGCGGCUGAAAGAUGAAAACGGGGCCUUAAUACGAGUCAUCAGCAAACUUUCCAAGUGAAGAAGACCAGACAAUACAGUUAAUACAGUCACACUUUAUUUUACAGUAUGUGGACAACAAAACACUGGUAACUGCAUGUACCUAAUGUGGGUUAGUUAGGUUCAUGUUCAGGGCUGGUACCUAGAACAUACACAGUUAUACAAGUAGGUACAUAAUACAUAAGUGUAUAACACGCCUGUAAAAUAAAGUGCUGCGGUUAAUACUGUACAAAGAGAGACCAAUACUGAGAAAGUUUCUCAUCCAAGUUUAUAGAUUUGUGUAAUCUCUCUUUACUUUCUAACUGCUGCAGUAUCGCCAAUAUUAAAGGGGACAUAUCAUAAAAAUCUGACUUUUUUCAUGUUUAAGUGCUAUAAUUGGGCCCACAGUGCUUCUAUCAACCUAUAAAAUGUGAAAAAGAUCAACCCAGUAACUUAGGUUUGGUAAACCAUUCUCUGCAAGCAUGUGAAAAAAUAGGCCAUUGAAAUCUGGCUCCCCUUGUGAUGUCAGAAGGGGAUAAUACCACCCCUUAAUCUGCACUUUCCAACCACGACACUGCCAUUUAGUGCAGAGAUCAGUUCAUUUGCAUUUUAAAGGACACACCCAAAAUGGCACAUUUUUGCUCACACCUACAAAGUGUCAAUUUUAUCAUGUUAUAAUAAAUUAUCUGUGGGGUAUUUUGAGUUAAAACUUCACAUACGUACUCUGGAGACACCAAAGAUUUAUUUUCCAUCUUUAAAAAGCCUGUGAAAUGUCCCCUUUAAGAUAUUGUCACAAAAGCAAAGCGCUACCCUACUGGAAAAUCCAGCUAAAAACUGCUUAAAUAAUAGUUCACCCUAGACUGACACAAAUAUGUC